UACGGAGGAUGCAAGCGUUAUCCGGAAUGAUUGGGCGUAAAGGGUCUGUAGGUGGUUGUUCAAGUCUGCUGUUAAAGCGUCUGGCUUAACCAGAUAAAGGCGGUGGAAACUGAACGACUAGAGUGCGGUAGGGGUAGAGGGAAUUCCCAGUGUAGCGGUGAAAUGCGUAGAUAUUGGGAAGAACACCUGUGGCGAAAGCGCUCUACUGGACCGCGACUGACACUGAUGGACGAAAGCUAGGGGAGCGAAUGGG
rnacentral:rRNA from 1 species